rnacentral:misc_RNA from 1 species
GUUGUCCUUUCCGCCCCGUGCCCUCUGUGGGUGUGGGGUGGACGCCAGGCACGUAACGUGUUCCUCGCAUGCCUUGCCUUGUUGCGGGGCUGUUGAGGCCCACGGAGAUGUUGCCCGUUCUCUCGGAUGCGGAAUGUCAUGCACGGGUGCGGGGUCUCGGCCUUUGCUUGCCCAAGCUAUGCAUUUGUCCCUUGACACGAACGACUGCCGCGGUCGUCUUGAUCCCGUCCUAGCCUAUGUGCUGGUCGGGGCUCAUGCUGCCGUCGGCGUCGUCGAGGAAUGCUACCUGGUUGAUCCUGCCA